rnacentral:rRNA from 1 species
AAUAGAUACCCUGGUAGUCCACGCCGUAAACGAUGAGUGCUAAGUGUUAGAGGGUUUCCGCCCUUUAGUGCUGCAGCUAACGCAUUAAGCACUCCGCCUGGGGAGUACGGCCGCAAGGCUGAAACUCAAAGGAAUUGACGGGGGCCCGCACAAGCGGUGGAGCAUGUGGUUUAAUUCGAAGCAACGCGAAGAACCUUACCAGGUCUUGACAUCCUCUGACAACCCUAGAGAUAGGGCUUUCCCCUUCGGGGGACAGAGUGACAGGUGGUGCAUGGUUGUCGUCAGCUCGUGUCGUGAGAUGUUGGGUUAAGUCCCGCAACGAGCGCAACCCUUGAUCUUAGUUGCCGGCAUUCAGUUGGGCACUCUAAGGUGACUGCCGGUGACAAACCGGAGGAAGGUGGGGAUGACGUCAAAUCAUCAUGCCCCUUAUGACCUGGGCUACACACGUGCUACAAUGGAUGGUACAAAGGGCUGCAAACCUGCGAAGGUAAGCGAAUCCCAUAAAGCCAUUCUCAGUUCGGAUUGCAGG